AUCUUAAUUCCUCCGUUCCGAAUUACUUGUCGCAGGUAUGAAUGUAUCUAGAUGUAUUUUAGUUCUAAAUACAUCCAUUUCUGCGACGAGUAAUUUGGAACGGAGGGAGUACAUC
rfam:Triticum aestivum genome assembly, contig: Triticum_aestivum_CS42_TGACv1_scaffold_556423_7AL